rnacentral:rRNA from 1 species
UACGGAGGGUGCUAACGUUGUCCGGAAUUACUGGGCGUAAAGAGCAUGUAGGUGGUCUUGUAAGUCAAUGAUGAAAGCCCGACGCUUAACGUCGGACCCGUUCUUGAUACUGCAAGGCUAGAGGGUAGCAGGGGUAUGCGGAACUUGAGUGUAGGAGUGAAAUCCGUAGAUAUUCAAAGGAACACCAAUGGCGAAGGCAGCAUACUGGGCUAUUUCUGACACUGAGAUGCGAAAGCGUGGGGAGCGAACGGG